UGCUUGCCUGGCCAGCAUGAGGUACUGGAGUUCAUGUUCAGCUCCCUCAAAAAUUCUAUUAAAAAGUGGGAGCAAGGGCUUCGAAUGGAGGAGUUAUCUUGAUGAGCUCACACACUAAGAUUCGCUCUGCCUUUUGUUGCUUUCAACAAGGCAUUUAUAUACAGUUUGCUAGAGAAGAAUUUUUGUGUGGCCAUAAUACAAGAGCGCUCAAGGUUAUGAAGGGAUCACAUGCGGCUUCCGGCAAUACUUGCGUUUAGUGAGAAAAAGCUACGUGUCACUAAAGCUAUGACCUCAAAUAUUAGAACGAUGACCACCCCUACCCCCCUUUGCGUAAGCUGGAAGAAGGGCUCUGUUUUCAAACAACAGUGUAUGGGAGACCUGGAGCGCCGUGGCACCAGUGGACAAGUUCAUUCUCUCUCUCGAUGGUCUCGCCAAGCUCUGGUGGCCAGUUGCAAUUCUGCUCCUGUUCCAUGAGGAAAUCCACGCUCUGCCACACCAGCUCCCGAUCUGAAGGUUUGAGAUGCUCCUGGUAGGAAAGGAGCAUCUGGAGAAUGGACGACAGGCCGUGAGCUGCCCCUGUGUGGACGAACAGAACAAAGCACCACUUAGCCAACAAGGAAAGUCAUGCUGUGAUUUAGUGAAAAGAAAACCAUGAGUUUUUUUUUUUUAAUUAAAACAUUACUUGAAAGCACAUUAGUAUUAUAACAAUUGAGUUACAAAAAACAAGCAAACAAACAAAAAAAAAAAAAAAACCAACCAAACAAACAAAAACCCUAAAUCACCAGUCGAAUAUAGCUUACAACCCAAAUCCCCAAAUCUGGCUCAGUGACUACUUUGUGACUACUUUUGUAAAUAAAGUUUUAUUGGAAC
rnacentral:lncRNA from 1 species